CGAGAUUCCUACCCGGCAGAAAUGAAACGCAUCUACGUCUGAAUACCUGCUUAUGUAUGUGUACACGUGUAUUUGUAGAUCGAUACACGCAACCUGCGACCACGCACUGUACUUCCACCUGUCUAGUGAAGAAGGAGUGGCGGCGCGCAUAGAAUCAAAACGCUAUCUCCCUUCCUCAGCAUCUCUCCUCUCCCUCUUCUUUUCCUCUUUGCGUCCGUCCCCUUUUUUCGCUGGGUCGCGUCGCUUCUGUUGUUCGUCGAGUCUUUCUGUCAUCCCAGGACAAUUGCUUGUUUUUUCCUCCCCUUCGGGCGAAGACGCCUCGUAGUCAAGACUCUCUAGUUCGAGACUGAAAUUACCUCCGUUCCUGUCCUCCGCGUCCCCGCGCUUCCCAGCAGCGUGAAAGCAGGGAGAGAUGCCGUUCUCGUUUCUCAUUAGAGCACUGCCGCCAGUUUCUGUUUCCUCCGGAGAGAACACGACGCCACUGCCGUUCAUAGGAGCGACUGGGUCAUUGCGUCGCUUUUUUCCCGACGCGAACUCGCCCCUGUCAUCCUCUGCUUCCUGCGGCUGAUCGGCGACUCCCGGUUCGCAGAAGCAGUGCGUUACCGGGUUUUCUUCCCGCGCGCCUUCCUCUCCAGGUUUAGCCAAAGGCCGAGAACAGCAAGGCGCUGCAGGCGUCUGGGGCGACCGAGCCAGCUGAUGCUUCUUCUGCGACUCUUUCGGGUUUUCAAAGGCGAGACACACGUUGCCUUUCCUCCCGUUCAAGCCGUCUUCUUCCUUCUCCGCUUCGCCCUUUUCUACCGCGGUCGACGUUUCUGAUUUCGCCAAACGCUCCUCGCGCCCAUCACCCCCCCUCUCCUCUUGUUCCACCUCUUGUGGAUCUGACGCUUCUGAUGGGACUGGGUCCGUCCCUCUUCCUGUCUCCUCGUCUCCAGUCUGCCGGGGAGAAGCGCUGUCGUCCGCGGCUUCGGCUUUUUGCAUUCCCAACAACGGGUUCACACGAACUCUAACUUGAGCACUAACGUGGCGAGCCUCAGCCCACACUCCAUUCGAAAGGCUGUCCUCGUUAGGCGCGUCACGCUGCUGAGAGCUAGCGGCGUUCUUGUCUUUCCAACUCGCAUGCCUAAAAGGUUUACGGACACGGGUAGCCUCCUUGUCCGCGCUGUCACUCCCUCGCUUCUUACGCGGGGUACGGCUGCUGCUGCCAGCGAGACUGCUCUCGUGAUUGGUGCUUUGCGUCGGGAUAUCCCUCUGCCCCCUACCGACCCCGUCACUCUUGUUCUCAUCCUCACAAUCAUUAUAAAAGGCAGUCUUGCUCCCGCAGUUCCUCUCCGUGUCCACGGUUCCACUCCGAGGAGAGUCCCCACUACCCGCGUUCGCGGCCUGCUGGCUCUUACCCCCAGGCUCGGCAGCGCGUCUAUUCGAAUCAGCACUCCUCUCACGACUCUCGCGCGCAGGACUGACCGUCUGCGUAGAGUCAGGCGGUUCCGGAGCAUCGCUAGGCAGACGCGGUUCGCCGCAGUGGCUGUCUUCAACAUCAUCUCUAUCGUUCCUAUCAAGACUAUCCUGUGUCUGAUUCCUGGCUCUUUUGUUCCCAUUCUCGCUAGGCUCCGCAAAGUCGUGAAGUUCGUGGCAAGAGCCGCCGCUGUGUCUCCCACCGACAGGACCAUCUCCCUCCACGUGGCUGUCCCUAGGGGAAUUCGUGUGGUCAUUUGCCGCAAGAUGACUGGUUGGAAUGCCUCCUCCGGCCACACGUACCGUUUGUUCAACAACCCCCAAAUGUCCGUCCUUUCCUUCCCAUUCGGGCGCUUCGUUUCUUUCUCUUUCGUCUUCUUUUCGCUUAGCGUUUGGUGAAAAGUAAAUCACUCCCAGCUCUGUCGCGGCGGCCGCUUGGCUAGGACUUAAGCAGAGAGGAUAGGGCGAGUGGCGACAAAGAACUAAGGGGCGCAAGUGCUGAAGCAUGGCUUCCUGCUUGUGGGCGAUCUGGCAAAAGUCGCUUCGUUCCUCGGUUAAACCCCUCCCGGGGUUGGACCCAUCCGCAGCGAUGUUUAUGCCGUGCAUGUAAGCUGGGUCCACCGCGUGCACGUUCUCGAAAAAAACGGAAUUCGCCUGACCGCCGAGCACUUGGGCGUAAUAGAGCGAAGACGCGUAGGUCCCAGGUGGAGCGAAAAGGGCGAAGUUGUCUGGAGGCGGCGGAGGCGGCACUGAGGGAGGAGGCGGAAUUGUCGCAGCGACGAAAGCCUCGAGCGCGUGUCCAGCUCGCUGCUUUCCAGAUCUCGAGUUUCGAGCAGGGAGCGAGGCAGGCUCCUCGGGCAACGCAGAACGCACCGGCUGUCCGUGAAGGGGGUCAGAAGCAUAGCAAUCUCCCGACGCGAAGGUCGAGACAGAGCCAGCUUCUCUUUCUCGUCCCAGAGAGGGGCAAACAAGCGAGGAAGGCUGAGAAUAGACAGUGCUCGGAGGGCUCCACCCGGGGUGGUCCGUUUGAACUUGCGAAACACCCGAGAAGACGGGAAAACCUGGACGGGCCGAACAACCCUGGGAAGUCGAAGGAGGACGAGAAGAGGCGACUUCCGAGGAAGCACCGCGGGGGAAUUUCAAAAAUCUCCUUCCUACUAGAAAUACGCGCAAAGCAACAAAAACGUCAACAACAGAGACCCCGAAACACGGGUGUUCGCGCAUUGCCCCUCGCCCGAGUGUGGACGCUGGCGCUCGACCGUCUCGGCCGCGCUCUCCUUUCGCUUGCCACGCAGCCUCCCCAGUUUCGUGGCCGGGAGGCAAGUGAUGAGGCGCGUUCCACAGUGGAGAGUUGUGGCUGUGUCCAGCAGCAAGUGACGAGGAAGGGUACGGAAAAGCAGCAGAAGGUGGCUUGUGGGCACCUGGUCGAUGCGCCUGUGAGUGCGGAGGUCUCUCGUGGCGCAGAGGACGGGGCGGGAUCGGCGCUUCAAAAAGAAAGCCCAGACGGCUUUUCGCAGCAGGCCUGGCGCAGUCCAGCACGAAAGAGAGAGAAAGGGAGAGAACAGACAGGAAAAAACGUUUUGAGCCAAGACUCCUAACGGCAAGCAAAGAAUCGGUUGCGUUCGUUUUCCCCAGUCGAGUCCCCACUUUCAGUUUCUCUAGAUUCUCUCGUUUCCGUCACUCCUGCGCCGCUGUGUCUCGGCUAGGUUUUUCUCCUUUCUCGCGCGGCGAUGGAUUCUUCUCUCGAAAGAACACGUGGUGACCGGUUCUCCUUCAGCCUGCGCAACCCUAUGACACUCUCGCCGCUGGGUUCUACGAGGGGUUCAUUGUGUCGCGCUCUGGAAACAGAACAAGCUUACCGGUCACGUGGCGCUUCCCGCUUCUUCUGCAGGCCCAGCGAGGCCCCUAAGGAAGGCCAGGAGAUAUUUGCGGCAUCGUUAGGCCAGGCGACAUUUGCGGCAUCGUUUUCAGGGACAAGAUCCGCGUUUUCAUGGUCUCGGUCCCAACUUCCUUUCGGCUGCUCUCCGAUCUUUUCUUCUUGCCCUCCCUUCUCGUGAGUCUCAGGACGAGAGCAAGGGGGACGGGGACUCACCGAAGACUCCCCGCCUCCGCGUGGGCCCUGUGUCUCGUUACCAAGUGGAGUUGCGUCGCCCCCACGCCUGUCUCCGGCAAAAGAGGCAGAAGAAGGGACAGCUUCAGACAGCGAGGAAGACGCCAGAGAAGAAGAAGCAAGAGUGGACGACGGAGGAGAGGAGGAAAAUCCAGGUUGACUGCCUUCCGAGGAAGCGUGUCCUGGUGUUCUUCCUUUCUGCUUUCCUCGUUCGGGAAAGACCCGUGCGUGAUUUUCUUCAGUAGUGGGAAGCGGAAGAUGGGGAUGGGGACAGAUGACACUUUCUUUCGUGUCUGUCGAAAUAGGCAAAGGAACGGUUCUCGCCGCUUCCGAUCCCUUCUCCCACGAGCAACCCUCCUCUCCGUCGCCAGAUAUGUGGUCAGUCCAGCGCCGCGGCAUGGCAGCCUUCGAGGCAGACGCAGGGAGCGCAGAAGCCGAGACCGAAAAGGAAGAAGGGGAAUGAGUAGGUUUUGCGAGGCCAGUUUCCCCUGGAGGUUUCCUUGUCUUCCCUUGUCGAUGAACUUCAGCCCAGCGGCUGACGGUUGUAUCCUCCAGCGCUGGCGCAGGGGGGGAAGAAGGCAAGAGAGAAGACCGACGAGAAGGGAAAGACGGAGGCGAGUGUGGCGGCGAC
rnacentral:lncRNA from 1 species